UUCCCUUUCCCCUAAACCCUAUCUCUUUCUCUUUCUCACUUCUCACAGCCGCAACACUCACCCUCCAACUUCCUCUCCCUCACGCUCGGUGAACAUCAUGAACGGCGCGAUAAUGUGGGGGCUUGGGUGUCGGUCAUGGGCAAACGGCACAAACGGUAGGGGCUCGGGGGUCUUGGCUGGCUCGGUCUCGCGCAGGGGUCGUGGGUGGCUCAGUCUCGUAGAGGGGUCGUAGGUGGUGGUGUAGGUAGCGGCACGACCAUGUGGUUGGGCUCUUUUUCCUCUCGUUCAUUUCUUCAGACAUAUCCGAGUUCCACAGCUCCAAAGGUCCUCAAUCUCCACAUUGUCAUCUUCUACAAUUCCAAAGCUCCCAAUGUAUGUUUUCAGUGUUGGUCCUGAGGAUGCUGCAGUUGUUGGUAAUCAACUGUUAGAAGAAGAGAAAACUACUCUUCAGGUUUGUUGAUUGACAAAGAGGGAGUACGCAUGGAGAAAACGAAGGAGAGAGUGAAAAGAAAAAAAUGUUACUUUGGCAAUCUUGGCUCAGGGUUGUAGUUUAAGGUUCAUGUUAUAAUGACAUUCUGAUUUUAAUUAUUUGUUUUAUUUGACAAUGCAAUAUUCUCACAUGUAAGGGGUAGAACUUUUAAUCUACUUGAUUAGUUGUUGGAAGAUGUUGAAGUUUUACCCUUUACUUGUAGUUGCUAUUACUUGUAGUUGCUAAGACAACCCUGCAUCAUAAUCCAUCUGUUUAGUUUAUAGGUUUUGGAGAUUGACAAAUUAUAAUUUGUUUAUGGUAUGUAUGAAAUCUGUGUUUUCA